rnacentral:lncRNA from 1 species
UCCAAUCUAAAGAGUAUGUAUGAUUUUGGUUGACCAAUAUGAGAGAAUAAAAAGGUUGUCUUAAAAGGUCACAAAAAUGGAUGUACAAUAUUACUACAUUUUUCAUUAUUACCACUUAAAAAUUAAAAACCACUUCGAGUUUGAUCUCAAUUCAAACAAUCUGUGAAAAUGUGAUGCGUUUCAACGGAUUUGUUUCCCUCUCAGUAUAAAUUGGAAGAAUAAAGUAAAACCAAAUCUAAGCAACAAAUGAAAAUAUAAAAGAAAAAAAUGUUAAAAAGUAAAAUAGCAACAUAAGAAAUCACAAAAAAAAAAAAAAAAAGAAGAAUAUAAAUAUGAAUCAGUAGAUAGAAAAAGUAGUGAGUAUUAACUAUUAAGGUAUUAAAAUGAAAUAGAAGGGAGUAGAAAGUUGCGAUAUUUUAAUGUAGUAACAACAAUCCUUCAUAUACCUUUUAAUUGAUGCAUUUCUUCUUUUCGUUUGAUUGGGUUCCAUGUCCAAAAUAAAAAUUCGGUCGAAAACAAAGAAC